CCCAGCCCCGCCGCCGUCCAGGUCCAGCCCCACGCCGCCGUCGUCUUCUUUGCCCAGCGGCCGCCGCCGCACCGCAUGCUCGUGUGCAGGGGCGAGAAGGGGAACCACCGCCCGCCCCCGGAGCGCGAGAGGUGAGACAGCGCCCAGAUCCACGGCGGCAUCUACGCGCCGUCGUCGACCUGAGCCGCUAUGGUCUCACCCUGCUGUGCUCCUUCCCCUCCACGGCUCCUAGCUCGGGCAACAACAAGCCAUCUCAAGGGAGUGGAUUCUCAAGUCACCCCACUUCCAAUCCAUGGACGCCAUCCACAAGGACCAAGAUGACGACGCACACAUCCUCCCUCUCCGAGCUGCAGGCACCCUCCGUGGAUGAGGACGACAACCAGGGCAUCCAUGGUCGACAGCUCGAUGGCUCCUCGGGGAGAACCUACUCGGCGGUCCUGAUGUUGCACUCGGCAGCGGCACCGGCGGUGGCAUCGUCUUGUUUCAGAUUUACUGAAUUGGCCAUGAAGGGUGGCUGAGCCAUCAGGAGCGGCCGCGGUGGCCUGCUGCGGACGCUGCUGCGGCUCCCUGUUCUUCAUCGCCUGCGUCUACCUGCUCCGUACCGACCCCAUAUGUGCAGGAAGAAAAGGGCCAUAAGAUUGUACAGGCAGAACAGGAUGUUGUUCUGUUCAACCACAUUGCCCCUGAUAUGGUUGCAAAGGUUGAAGAAGAGUAUGUCGAUCCGGAACCUGAGCAAGCUAUAUUACCACCCCCAGCCAACAAGAUCCCAGGCCCUGCUGGGAGAUCAAAGGCUGGAAGUGCAUGCAAGAGGGCAUGUUAAUCAGGCAGAUUAUCAUUCAAAGUCUGGAUCUACGAUGCUUGUAGCGCAGAUUGGAUUGCGAGAUGCGACAUUAUGCAGGGGAGUCCUAUUUUUAUUUCAAAAGCUCGGUAUUUUUUUACAAUGGAUGGCACAACUUAGGCACGCUUCGCUUCUUUGCCCAACCUGUUCCCGGUAUAUAUACUAGAAGUUGUUAUGGCUCACUUCCAUUUAUAUCAUGUUGACACGGUGAAUCAGCUGGUUAGAAUUCUGUAUAUUUUUCUUCACCUUGUGAGAGGCACAUCUUUCAACCAAGAAUGUCAUCAGUGACUAUCCAGAGGACAUGAUCAGCAUCUGUGUGUGCCGUGGCUUGGGAGGGACAAAAAAGAGGUCGAUUUGAAAUUAUGGAAGAGCAAGGGAGGCGGGAAGAGUUGUGCACUUUUAUCCUUUUUACUAACGCAUCAUAGCAUCUGAUCUUUACCCGCUUGGCCACGUUGUUGGGACCGGGACCCUCGCGCCAAGGCGUGAUCACGAUGUAGUGGGAGAAGAUCUGUGGGCUUUUUGUAAUUUACCCGAUGGAAAUGUUCCUCGGCACCAUGACGAACAUCAACGGAGGAACAACCUUUUUAUUUUAUUUUCUGUUGCCUCUACUGUAUUGUUGCUGCCACAAAGAUUUAUCUGGACAUGGAGCCAUCAUGAUGUGUUUAAAAAUGAUUACAUUAUCCUUUUCUAACCUAUUGGUGUUAGAGACAUCUUAGCAUUCAAGCAGGUUUAGUUCAUUGUUUAUUAAUUCCUAUUAUGUAAACAAAAUCACUGAUCAUCGCUUGACAGAAUUUUUUUGAUAUGCAA